rnacentral:rRNA from 1 species
UACAGAGGUCUCAAGCGUUGUUCGGAUUUACUGGGCGUAAAGGGCGCGUAGGCGGUCAGUGCAAGUCAGUUGUGAAAUCUCCGGGCUUAACUCGGAAAGGUCAACUGAUACUGCUCGACUAGAGUGCGGAAGGGGCAACUGGAAUUCUUGGUGUAGCGGUGAAAUGCGUAGAUAUCAAGAGGAACACCUGCGGCGAAGGCGGGUUGCUGGGCCGACACUGACGCUGAAGUGCGAAAGCUAGGGGAGCGAACGGG